GGGUUGUGAGGUUAAGCGACUAAGCGUACACGGUGGAUGCCCUGGCAGUCAGAGGCGAUGAAGGACGUGCUAAUCUGCGAUAAGCGUCGGUAAGGUGAUAUGAACCGUUAUAACCGGCGAUUUCCGAAUGGGGAAACCCAGUGUGUUUCGACACACUAUCAUUAACUGAAUCCAUAGGUUAAUGAGGCGAACCGGGGGAACUGAAACAUCUAAGUACCCCGAGGAAAAGAAAUCAACCGAGAUUCCCCCAGUAGCGGCGAGCGAACGGGGAGCAGCCCAGAGCCUGAAUCAGUGUGUGUGUUAGUGGAAGCGUCUGGAAAGGCGCGCGAUACAGGGUGACAGCCCCGUACACAAAAAUGCACAUGCUGUGAGCUCGAUGAGUAGGGCGGGACACGUGGUAUCCUGUCUGAAUAUGGGGGGACCAUCCUCCAAGGCUAAAUACUCCUGACUGACCGAUAGUGAACCAGUACCGUGAGGGAAAGGCGAAAAGAACCCCGGCGAGGGGAGUGAAAAAGAACCUGAAACCGUGUACGUACAAGCAGUGGGAGCACGCUUAGGCGUGUGACUGCGUACCUUUUGUAUAAUGGGUCAGCGACUUAUAUUCUGUAGCAAGGUUAACCGAAUAGGGGAGCCGAAGGGAAACCGAGUCUUAACUGGGCGUUAAGUUGCAGGGUAUAGACCCGAAACCCGGUGAUCUAGCCAUGGGCAGGUUGAAGGUUGGGUAACACUAACUGGAGGACCGAACCGACUAAUGUUGAAAAAUUAGCGGAUGACUUGUGGCUGGGGGUGAAAGGCCAAUCAAACCGGGAGAUAGCUGGUUCUCCCCGAAAGCUAUUUAGGUAGCGCCUCGUGAAUUCAUCUCCGGGGGUAGAGCACUGUUUCGGCAAGGGGGUCAUCCCGACUUACCAACCCGAUGCAAACUGCGAAUACCGGAGAAUGUUAUCACGGGAGACACACGGCGGGUGCUAACGUCCGUCGUGAAGAGGGAAACAACCCAGACCGCCAGCUAAGGUCCCAAAGUCAUGGUUAAGUGGGAAACGAUGUGGGAAGGCCCAGACAGCCAGGAUGUUGGCUUAGAAGCAGCCAUCAUUUAAAGAAAGCGUAAUAGCUCACUGGUCGAGUCGGCCUGCGCGGAAGAUGUAACGGGGCUAAACCAUGCACCGAAGCUGCGGCAGCGACGCUUAUGCGUUGUUGGGUAGGGGAGCGUUCUGUAAGCCUGCGAAGGUGUGCUGUGAGGCAUGCUGGAGGUAUCAGAAGUGCGAAUGCUGACAUAAGUAACGAUAAAGCGGGUGAAAAGCCCGCUCGCCGGAAGACCAAGGGUUCCUGUCCAACGUUAAUCGGGGCAGGGUGAGUCGACCCCUAAGGCGAGGCCGAAAGGCGUAGUCGAUGGGAAACAGGUUAAUAUUCCUGUACUUGGUGUUACUGCGAAGGGGGGACGGAGAAGGCUAUGUUGGCCGGGCGACGGUUGUCCCGGUUUAAGCGUGUAGGCUGGUUUUCCAGGCAAAUCCGGAAAAUCAAGGCUGAGGCGUGAUGACGAGGCACUACGGUGCUGAAGCAACAAAUGCCCUGCUUCCAGGAAAAGCCUCUAAGCAUCAGGUAACAUCAAAUCGUACCCCAAACCGACACAGGUGGUCAGGUAGAGAAUACCAAGGCGCUUGAGAGAACUCGGGUGAAGGAACUAGGCAAAAUGGUGCCGUAACUUCGGGAGAAGGCACGCUGAUAUGUAGGUGAAGUCCCUUGCGGAUGGAGCUGAAAUCAGUCGAAGAUACCAGCUGGCUGCAACUGUUUAUUAAAAACACAGCACUGUGCAAACACGAAAGUGGACGUAUACGGUGUGACGCCUGCCCGGUGCCGGAAGGUUAAUUGAUGGGGUCAGCGCAAGCGAAGCUCUUGAUCGAAGCCCCGGUAAACGGCGGCCGUAACUAUAACGGUCCUAAGGUAGCGAAAUUCCUUGUCGGGUAAGUUCCGACCUGCACGAAUGGCGUAAUGAUGGCCAGGCUGUCUCCACCCGAGACUCAGUGAAAUUGAACUCGCUGUGAAGAUGCAGUGUACCCGCGGCAAGACGGAAAGACCCCGUGAACCUUUACUAUAGCUUGACACUGAACAUUGAGCCUUGAUGUGUAGGAUAGGUGGGAGGCUUGGAAGUGUGGACGCCAGUCUGCAUGGAGCCGACCUUGAAAUACCACCCUUUAAUGUUUGAUGUUCUAACGUUGACCCGUAAUCCGGGUUGCGGACAGUGUCUGGUGGGUAGUUUGACUGGGGCGGUCUCCUCCUAAAGAGUAACGGAGGAGCACGAAGGUUGGCUAAUCCUGGUCGGACAUCAGGAGGUUAGUGCAAUGGCAUAAGCCAGCUUGACUGCGAGCGUGACGGCGCGAGCAGGUGCGAAAGCAGGUCAUAGUGAUCCGGUGGUUCUGAAUGGAAGGGCCAUCGCUCAACGGAUAAAAGGUACUCCGGGGAUAACAGGCUGAUACCGCCCAAGAGUUCAUAUCGACGGCGGUGUUUGGCACCUCGAUGUCGGCUCAUCACAUCCUGGGGCUGAAGUAGGUCCCAAGGGUAUGGCUGUUCGCCAUUUAAAGUGGUACGCGAGCUGGGUUUAGAACGUCGUGAGACAGUUCGGUCCCUAUCUGCCGUGGGCGCUGGAGAACUGAGGGGGGCUGCUCCUAGUACGAGAGGACCGGAGUGGACGCAUCACUGGUGUUCGGGUUGUCAUGCCAAUGGCACUGCCCGGUAGCUAAAUGCGGAAGAGAUAAGUGCUGAAAGCAUCUAAGCACGAAACUUGCCCCGAGAUGAGUUCUCCCUGAC
rnacentral:rRNA from 1 species